AGCGUCACCUGGAAGGCAGAUCUAACAGAGAACCUGGACUGUCUCCUAUCAUGAUUCCCGGGAAAUAUCGCUCUGUUUCUGGCCGGGCUGCGAACAACGUGAACUGCGGGCUUCAUCUGGUUAUUCAAACAUCAUCGCUUCCUGAAAAAAACAAACAUUUAUACUUACCUACUUUCUACACACUAUGUCUCAAGACACAACAUGAUUUUUCCUCCUUUGACCAAGUUGGAAACCUCUAACCAUCACAAUUCAGGUGUGUCCUAAAAAGUUAUUAAAUAGGCGUCACUGGAAGAACUCUAAAGUGAAGGGCAGAGUUCACACAUAACAGCAUGAAGAAGGGUUGAAUUCAAGCUAAAUAAAGACACAUCGUCAUUCCCCGGUAGACUUUUACAACAUGACCUUGAAAGAAACUACUCAAGUAGGCAAGAUUUUACCAAGAAUAUAAAGAAUGUAAAAUGAGGUCCAUCACCCAAGGAGCUUGUAGAUUUAUUUGGGAAGACAAGGGCUACAUAUCUGGUGAUCAUAUUAAUUUGGUGAGCUCAUCAU
rnacentral:lncRNA from 10 species